rnacentral:rRNA from 1 species
GGGGGAAAUUUGCGCAAUGGGGGGCACCCUGACGCAGCAACGCCGCGUGCAGGAAGAAGGUCUUCGGAUUGUAAACUGUUGUCGCAAGGGAAGAAGACAGUGACGGUACCUUGUGAGAAAGUCACGGCUAACUACGUGCCAGCAGCCGCGGUAAUACGUAGGUGACAAGCGUUGUCCGGAUUUACUGGGUGUAAAGGGCGCGUAGGCGGGAUAGCAAGUCAGUCGUGAAAUACCGAGGCUCAACCUCGGGGCUGCGAUUGAAACUGUUAUUCUUGAGUAUCGGAGAGGAAAGCGGAAUUCCUAGUGUAGCGGUGAAAUGCGUAGAUAUUAGGAGGAACACCAGUGGCGAAGGCGGCUUUCUGGACGACAACUGACGCUGAGGCGCGAAAGUGUGGGGAGCAAACAGGAUUAGAUACCCUGGUAGUCCACACUGUAAACGAUGGAUACUAGGUGUAGGAGGUAUCGACCCCUUCUGUGCCGCAGUUAACACAAUAAGUAUCCCACCUGGGGAGUACGACCGCAAGGUUGAAACUCAAAGGAAUUGACGGGGGCCCGCACAAGCAGUGGAGUAUGUGGUUUAAUUCGAAGCAACGCGAAGAACCUUACCUGGUCUUGACAUCCCGACGACCGCUCUAGAGAUAGAGCUUCUCUUCGGAGCGUCGGUGACAGGUGGUGCAUGGUUGUCGUCAGCUCGUGUUGUGAGAUGUUGGGUUAAGUCCCGCAACGAGCGCAACCCCUAUUGUCAGUUGCCAUCAUUAAGUUGGGCACUCUGGCGAGACUGCCGGUGACAAAUCGGAGGAAGGUGGGGACGACGUCAAAUCAUCAUGCCCCUUAUGACCAGGGC